UACCAGCACCCCGAGUGGUCGGGACGAUUAUUGGGCCUAAAGCAUCCGUAGCCGGCCUUACAAGUCCCCCGUUAAAUCCAACUGCUUAACAGAUGGGCUGCGGAGGAUACUAUAAGACUAGGAGGCAGGAGAGGCAAGCGGUACUCAGUGGGUAGGGGUAAAAUCCGUUGAUCCAUUGAAGACCACCAGUGGCGAAGGCGGCUUGCCAGAAUGCGCUCGACGGUGAGGGAUGAAAGCUGGGGGAGCAAAACGG
rnacentral:rRNA from 1 species